AUUGAACGCUGGCGGCAUGCCUUACACAUGCAAGUCGAACGGCAGCACGGGAGCAAUCCUGGUGGCGAGUGGCGAACGGGUGAGUAAUAUAUCGGAACGUGCCCAGUCGUGGGGGAUAACGUAGCGAAAGCUACGCUAAUACCGCAUACGAUCUACGGAUGAAAGUGGGGGAUCGCAAGACCUCGCGUGAUUGGAGCGGCCGAUAUCAGAUUAGGUAGUUGGUGAGGUAAAGGCUCACCAAGCCGACGAUCUGUAGCUGGUCUGAGAGGACGACCAGCCACACUGGGACUGAGACACGGCCCAGACUCCUACGGGAGGCAGCAGUGGGGAAGUUUUUGGGACAAUGGGCGCAAGCCUGAUCCAGCAAUGCCGCGUGCAGGAUGAAGGCCUUC
rnacentral:rRNA from 1 species